AGAGGGUGCAAGCGUUAAUCGGAAUUAUUGGGCGUAAAGGGCUUGUAGGUGGUUCUUUAAGUUAGAUGUGAAAACCCUGGGCUCAACCUGGGACGUGCAUUUAAUACUGGAGAGCUAGAGUAGGGCAGAGGAGUGGGGAAUUCCUGGUGUAGCAGUGAAAUGCGUAGAGAUCAGGAGGAACAUCAGUGGCGAAGGCGCCACUCUGGGCUCAUACUGACACUGAAAAGCGAAGGCGUGGGGAUCAAACAGGAUUAGAUACCCUGGUAGUCCACGCAGUAAACGAUGAAUACUAGCCGAUGGGGGGUAAUACCCUUAGUGGCGCAGCUAACGCGAUAAGUAUUCCGCCUGGGAAGUACGGCCGCAAGGUUAAA
rnacentral:rRNA from 1 species